UCGCCUUUCGGGCAUUGAGAGUGAUAAAUCCAUUGUAGACGACUUUGUACGAAUGGGGUAUUGUAAGCAUGAGAGUAGGCUUUGUCCUACGAUCUGCUGAGAUUAAGCCUUUAUUCU
rnacentral:rRNA from 14 species